UGAGAAUUUAAAAAAUAUAUAGUUUUCUCGACGUAAGUUUUAUACAUGUCAAGUAACUUUCCGACUUUCAGUCGCAUUUUUAUCAAAAUAUUGUCAAUUCUGGUGAAUACCGUGCUUAGUAUGAAGCCUUUUGGGUUUGAUGCAAUUCAUUUUCGUGUUCUGACUAUCGUUAGGCUAUGAUUUUUAAACGUUUUUGGCAGAUUUUUUCGUUUAAAAAUUGUUUCACUCCUCAGUUUUUGGCGCGAAAACCAGAGCGGGCAGUUGCAUUUCACAGCGGGCAGUUGCGUUUCAGAGCGGGCCGGAUGCAAAAAACCGGCCCGCUCUGAAAGGCUCCUCAGCCAAUCACAUUGCUUC
rnacentral:lncRNA from 1 species